UGCGCUUGUAGCUCAAUUGGAUAGAGCAUCUGACUUCGGAUCAGAGGGUUGUGGGUUCGACUCCUGCCAGGCGCGCCAU
rnacentral:tRNA from 1 species